GAUGAAGAACGCAGCGAAAUGCGAUACGUAAUGUGAAUUGCAGAAUUCAGUGAAUCAUCGAGUCUUUGAACGCACAUUGCGCCCUCUGGUAUUCCGGAGGGCAUGCCUGUCCGAGCGUCAUUGCUGCCCUCAAGCACGGCUUGUGUGUUGGGCUCCGCCCUCCUUCCGGGGGACGGGCCCGAAAGGCAGCGGCGGCACCGCGUCCGGUCCUCAAGCGUAUGGGGCUUUGUCACCCGCUUUGUAGGACUGGCCGGCGCCUGCCGAUCAACCAAACUUUUUUCCAGGUUGACCUCGGAUCAGGUAGGGAUACCCGCUGAACUUAAGCAUAUCAAUAAGCGGAGGA
rnacentral:misc_RNA from 1 species